rnacentral:rRNA from 1 species
ACGCUCGACACCUACGGGAGGUAGCAGUGGGGAAUAUUGCACAAUGGGGGAAACCCUGAUGCAGCGACGCCGCGUGAGUGAAGAAGUAUUUCGGUAUGUAAAGCUCUAUCAGCAGGGAAGAAGAUGACGGUACCUGAGUAAGAAGCCCCGGCUAACUACGUGCCAGCAGCCGCGGUAAUCUGAGGCGGGCGUGGCAAGGC